UUACGGCCACAUUCCCGUUGAAACGCCGCCGAUUCCCGUACGAUCACCGUAGUUAAGGAAUGUCAAUCCUGCUCAGUACCUAGUUGGGUGACCGCUUGAGAAUACCAGGUGCUGUAA